CCAAUUGAGACCCAGCUUGAUCUGAUAGGGAUGCUGUGAGGCAGCUGGCAAGGUGCCCCCUUCAUGGGAGCCUGGGCCAUCUGUGCACAUGACUCAACAGAGGUUGUUCCUAGAAGAAAGGAGAUCUCAGGAGGUGGUUCCUGGCGCUUGAGAGUCCAAGGAGAGGUGUGUAAUUGGGGAUUCCCAUGGCAAAAGGCUUGGGGGAGCUGCCAAGGCAAAAGGGGAAGGUGAGUGCAAGGUGAAGGACAGAAAAUGCCUGGGAGAGGUGGCAGGAGGAGGCACCAGCUGCAGCCCACAUCUCCUCAGGAUCUAGUCCUGGGAAUGCUCUGGCUCUGCAGCCAUGCACUGGGAGUAGUGUCCCUCUGCCAGACAGGGACUGAUGCACAGCAGUGAUUCAGAAGAGGGACAGAAGCACUCGGCAGUCCACACCUAUAGGCAUCAUUGUGUAACAGAAAGCCCAUGGCUGCUUCUAAUGAGAAUUAUACUAAUUUUGUAGAAGAAAUUAACCUACAUUAGGGCCAAAGUUGGUGAUGUUCUGUUUAGUCUCUCCUUAAUACCUUGGUGUUUUUAGAUGUGAGAGAACUUUUUAAAUUGGCAGGAAGUUUUUAGUGUCUUGAGCCUCAUCUCUUCUCCCUCCAAACUGAUGAAGGAACAAAAGACAACCUUAUACAGGUUCCACACCCAAACAAAAUUUAUCAUAGUUCGACUGACAGGUGUAUGCCAAGAAUGUCUUUCUAUUCUUUUCAUUCAGAAAUUGUUUACUGUUUAGUGGUUCAGUAAUUAACUGUGAAAAGUCACGAGAAUAUUGUUUUCUGAUUCAAAAAUUGAGUACUCUGGCCCACUUGUGCCCUGAAGGAUAGUAGGAACCUGAAUUCUAAGGAGGUAUCUGUGACUUUCAAGACAAGAUACUUUUAAACUUAAUGUCAAGGUAUUAAAAGUUCCCUGCAUCCCUUCUGAUAUAUCUAUAUCUAUCUGUCUAUCUAUAUAAGUCCACCUUUAUUCUCAUGACUUUUGUCUAAAAUUUGUCCUUUUAGUCUUCACAAGAACAUUAUCCCACUUACCUGAAAAAACAGAACCUGUCUUAUGAGAUUUUCAUGCAUAACUUGAAGCAAUUUACAUAGAAAUGUCAAGGUAAAGCUUGCAAUUGCUUUACCUUGGGGGCUCACAUAUGGUAAACAAGAUACAAUAGGAGUUGGGUUGUAAAAUAUGAAUGCUUGUGAGCUCAAAUAAGGAUUUUUUCUGUCUCACUAGUACAAGUAAAAAGCUUUUUUUAAAAUUAAUGAUUUUAUGAAUUGUUAUCUGCCGUGAAAUGGAAGCUGUAAUAUGUGUUGAGAAUUGAAGAUAAUGUAUGUGAUCUAUUGUAAAGCAAAUUAAUAUUAUCAAUCUGUUUAUUUUUCCAUGUAAUUAAGCAGUGGUGAUCAAAAUUCAACAGUUUCCUUGGAGAUUAAAUAUAACUUUGGAAAUAAACAGCGAGGACUGUUAGCCAUAACAAAUUGUUAAGAAUCCAGAAAACACACUAAAUUGAGUCCUCAUUUUUCUCAUGAUUAUUUUGUAUACUGCUUUUUCUUUAUUAUUUUUUUAGAAGACAAAUUGAUAUUCAUACGCACAAAAUAGUCUUCUAGAUAGAAUAUUUUGAUAGUACACAGCAAAAUAAAUAUUAAGGUUCAGGUUCCAGCUGUGGUCAGCCUUUGAGAACAACCAUAAUGACUGUUUCUGUCUCUGACACCUGAAGCCUCUGUUUCUCAUUCUUUCCACCAUAUGGAUUUCAGUAUUCACUUGUGAUACUUAGUCAUGCUGUUCUUGCUCAUGAAAUUAGUCCUACUAGGUGAUUAAAGGAAAUCUACCUUGUGGUGUUUGCUGGAUUAAAUCUCAUACAUUGCCUUCUGAGUGCCUGGUAAAAGAAACACACCAGUCCUUUCACUCUGCUUAUGCACAGUGGGUGAGACGUUUCUGACAUAAUUAAUUUUCUUUUUGAGAAUUGACCUUAGAUAGUUAAUAAUUCUUUCAGCUCAAACAAUGGACAGCAAAUACAUCUCAGCAGAAGCAGGUCACUCGGGUCUUUGCUUUAAGGGAGCUGCAAUAGGAUUUAGUAGAUCUUCUUCAGACUCUGAGUUGAAUUUGGCACUCACUGCGGUCUGAAUUGCUAUUGAGUUCUCCAAUCCAAAACCAAGAUGAAAGCUCUUAUUUCUGUCUCACUUUUUUUUUCUUACAAUAGCACAAUCAGAACUGAUUUAGUUGAAACCAAUGAAAUUGCAUCUCAGAGAAAGGUGACUCAAAUCUGAACUAUUGAUGAUUCACAUCUCCUUCAUUCUACACUUUCCCACGGGAAUAUUUGUUUUGAUUACGCAUGCUCUAGGAGAAAUUUUUUAUGAAGACUUUUGAAAUGGUGGAAAUAAGUGAGACUUUGAAAAUGCUUUCAUAAUAUUUUACAGAAGUUUUAGUAGGCAGACAUCCUUUGCUGCUUAGUUUAUUGUGUAGGUAGUAAGUGGACACACUUGGCAGCACUUGCACUAACCUUACUUUUAGAUAUACCCUUGUAUUCAUAGCUGGAAAUACUUCUAAUAACCCAAUAAUAGCCAGAAAAGAUCAACUGGAUGGCUCUAGUACAAAAAUGUAGAAGUAUUGCUAGAAUUAAAAGAUGUGCUUUUUGCUUAAAAAUGCUGAACUCUUAUAAAUCCUGCUUAUUUCUGCUGUGAGCAGACGAAGUUUUGUUUCUAAAUGUUUGAGAAAUUAAAGAGGAGCCUGUUGAUCCACUCUGCUGCUUUG